GACGAACGCUGGCGGCGUGCUUAACACAUGCAAGUCGAACGGAAAGGCCCUGCUUUUGUGGGGUGCUCGAGUGGCGAACGGGUGAGUAACACGUGAGUAACCUGCCCUUGACUUUGGGAUAACUUCAGGAAACUGGGGCUAAUACCGGAUAGGAGCUCCUGCUGCAUGGUGGGGGUUGGAAAGUCUCGGCGGUUGGGGAUGGACUCGCGGCUUAUCAGCUUGUUGGUGGGGUAGUGGCUUACCAAGGCUUUGACGGGUAGCCGGCCUGAGAGGGUGACCGGCAACAUUGGGACUGAGAUACGGCCCAGACUCCUACGGGAGGCAGCAGUGGGGAAUAUUGCACAAUGGGCGGAAGCCUGAUGCAGCAACGCCGCGUGCGGGAUGACGGCCUUCGGGUUGUAAACCGCUUUCGCCUGUGACGAAGCGUGAGUGACGGUAAUGGGUAAAGAAGCACCGGCUAACUACGUG
rnacentral:rRNA from 1 species